AACCAUUCUCACCUGCGGCUAGACCUGCGGAAGGAUCAUUACUGAGUGAGGGCCUUCGGGCUCGACCUCCAACCCUUUGUGAACACAACUUGUUGCUUCGGGGGCGACCCUGCCGUUUCGACGGCGAGCGCCCCCGGAGGCCUUCAAACACUGCAUCUUUGCGUCGGAGUUUAAGUAAAUUAAACAAAACUUUCAACAACGGAUCU
rnacentral:misc_RNA from 1 species